rnacentral:tRNA from 1 species
GCAGUCGUGGCCGAGUGGUUAAGGCGAUGGACUAGAAAUUCAUUGGGGUCUCCCCGCACAGGUUCGAAUCCUGUCGACUACG